AUUUUUUUCAUUCAGACUUUAGAGGCAUUUUCUCCAUCUCUAGACCCCUUCCUACCUCAGUGGCAGGGCCUCAUCUGACACUAAGACCUGGAUUAGUGUUAAAUUCCUUAUAACAUGAACCAGGGCAGGUUCUUUGACUGGAUGGGACAACUGAUAUGAAAAAAAGAAAGAAAGAAAGAAAGAAAGAAAGAAAGAAAGAAAGAAAGAAAGAAAGAAAGAAAGAAAGAAAGAAAGAAAGAAAGAAAGAAAGAAAGAAAGAAAGAAAGAAGGAAGGAAGGAAGGAAGAAAGAAAGAAGGAAGGAAGAAAGGAAGAAAAGAAAGAAAGAUGGAGUCAGAGGAAAGAUUUUGAAAACUAGCUUGAGCUGAUGCUCUAGCUUGAGGUAUUAAGAAAAUCCAUUACACAUUGAUACAUGAUAGUUAUCAGUGGUAGACAGGGGAAACAAUAACUGGUUACUUCAAAGAUACAAGGUCAGGUUUAACACAGGUUAGCCAAAAUUUUGUUCCAGGAAAAGCUCAUAUUUUUAUGGCUAUGUGACUUGUUGAUAAGAAAGCUGGGGAGGGGAAAACUGAAGUCAAUAGUGCUGGGGGUUGAUUGACAUGCUAAAUCCAAGGAUGCUCCUAAUGCUAACUAGGAAGGCUAGUAAGGUAAGCACUUUCAGAAGAGGCAGAAUUUCAAUUGUGUAUUCAGUCUGAGUUUGCCAAGGAAUAGACUUCUUAAAAGUUUAGAAUAGUCCUCCAAAUCUUUUCUAAUUUUGAAGGUCAGGACUCAUUAACUCACAACAAGAAAAAUGCUUUUGCAAUAAUCUCUUGUUUUUUUUAAAUUGAAUCUUGGCUUUUGUCAAAGUUCCAGU
rnacentral:lncRNA from 1 species